CUUUCCCCAAUUAAAAUCAAAGGAAAUUUACUGCUUAAUUGAGGUUAUGUUAAAGCAAUGAUGGGCACCGCAGUUUGCAAUAUUACGUGUAUGAUUAUAUAUAGUACUAUAAUUUUAGAAUGGUUUCUUCCUUGUAUAUUGAUUUUACUUCAUUUCCUAGACGUUCACUUUCGUCGACGUUCACUUUUUUUAUUAUUAGGAAAAAAGGUCAAAGUUAUUCCUCUAUAAAAU
rnacentral:lncRNA from 1 species